rnacentral:tRNA from 1 species
GCCUGGCUCAGUGGGUAGAGCAUGGGACUCUUGAUCUCAUUGGUUGUGAGCUCAAGCCCCACUUUGGGCA